CUGAUGGUGCAAUUUUCCAAAAUGACCCUCGUUCUCUCUAGUAUAGCUUCAGAUCGGGGCAAUAGUAUUGAGGAUGAAAUUUUAUACAAAGAAGCAGAAGAAAGGUGCAUUGUCGAGCUCGUAAAAGGUAAAUUUUCGUUAAAAGAAAUCAGGUACUAUUUUUUAUUUAUUAAGGUAUACUAUGUAUUUUCUGCCUGUAAUUUCAAUUUUCAGAUCAUGUAAUUUGAAGGAGUACUGAUAAGUAAAAAAUUAAACAAUGAUUCUGCUUAGUUUGAAUAUAACGAGGCAAUAAUUUUGCUCUGCAGUGUGGAAAGAGGAAUGUUUAAUUUUUGAUUAACUGUCACUUCUCUCUCUUUCUUUUUUUUUUUUUUUUAUAUUUUUUUUGGGUUGUCAGAAUUUUAUCCAUGGAUGUCAGAGGAGAAGCUCCUAAGUAAAUUGACUAACAAAAAUAAUUAUAGGUUAAAGUAUUUUAAAGAGGGCUCUAACUAGCACUUUUUAUUGCAUGUGUAUCUCCAUCAAUGUUACUUAUAAAGUGGCACAAGAUUGUAAGACAAAAUCACUGGAUACAACUUCAGAUGCUCAUAAGGAUCUUGAACUUUAUCAGAAUAAUGAUAAUCAUUGUUUUAAAAAUCUAUCAGGUGAGGUUUUCAUUAAAUAUCUUGCAAUUUAGGCAUUGAUUGCUUUUUGUUAAGGCUCAAGUUACGAAGCUUCUGCCUCAAGAUUAAGAGAAUGUUUGAUGGGAAUUAAAAUUAGAUUUUUUAGUAGAUUAUGAUAGAAGUUUUUGAAAUGUAUAAUUAAAAAGUUAUGGGAUCUAUGAUAGAUAUGGCUAAUAUUGAUUGUUUGACUUUGACUUAAAUUAAAAUCAAUUUAAUUACAAACCAAAUAGGCUGACGGUGGCUGAGGUGUGCAUUUAUUUGUAUUGUCCUUUUUAGACUUCUUACUAUUGGUCUUAGUGUUUUGGGCUCUUCUUUUCAGAGCUUAGAACAGUUUAGCGAUUUUUAGUUUAGUAUUUAUUGCCUUAACACUGAAGGGGAAGUGGAAGGAAAAGGAAAAGGAAAAGGAAAUGGCACCAUUCAUAAGAAUUGACUUCAACUUGAUAGUCUUGCACAAUACUUAUCUAGGACCUUGCGAACCAUAUAUUUCGAGUACACUAUCAACCGUGAACUCUAAAGUUAAACAACAGUUAAGACUCCCUUUUUUGUUGUGGGUUGGACUCCCUUUAUAUAAGUUUCAAUAUAUGCUGACGUGUCAAAUAGUUAUGAACAUGCGAGCAGGUGUCCUAGGGUUUUCUGGAUAUGCGGCUUUGAAGAUUAGAUAAGUCGUAUGGAUCUCUUGUAGAUGCCUAUUCAACGGAUGAGCUAUAAUGUGCCGACACGGACAUGUGUAUUCAAACAUGACAUGUGACGGAUACGUCGACACACCAUUUUUUUUAUUUUAAAAGUUCAAACAUGACAUGUUGAUUACAUUCUUCAUUUAUAGAGUAUAAUUUUAGUUUUAUACUUGUUAUUAAUUUUUCUUCUUGAAGUCUUUUAAAUAUGAGUACUUAUUUGUCAUUUACUAAUAAUUUUGAUUUAAAAAUAUUAAUAUUUUAAAUGUCAGACACGAAUAUGCCUCCCUAGUUGAAAUGUUCGUGUCACAGAACUGAUGAGUCAUUCAUUCUUACCUAUCAAUCUCUUGGUUGAUCCUGUGGGUCGAGAGGAUGAAACAUAUUUCGAUAAAUGACUGAAAAUGGUUUCAUGCAAUCAUUGCACGUGAUGCUUUGCUCGCAAUAUGUUCUCUAAUUCUAUCAUUAUCGGUACUAGUAUCAUUUCUUUCCCAAUUGGUGCGCUAAAGAUUUUUUUUUAAAUGUGCUCAAACCAUCUUAAUCAAUUUUCAUCCGAUUCAUAUUCAACUGGCUCCAAUUAAUGAAUAUGCUUAUUUGUUACCACUCCUCGUUUUACCACAAAUCCAUCUCAGUAUUCAUAUCUCAGCUACAUUUAACUUGUAGAGAUAAUAUUUGUUAAUAACUCAACAUCAGGAUAACUUGGUUGCUCCCACAGAACUUUGAUUUUAUUUAUGAGAUAUGUUGACGUUGGAACCCUGAACUUUUAUCUGAUUUUCUUCCAAGUACUUAUUCACUAGAAAGAUAGUUGCACAGAGCCUUCUCUUAUCUUCCAAGGCCUCCAAUUGUUACUUCCUCUCUGUAGGUACUAAACCAAGGACUAGGACUUAAAAAUAAGAAACUUAAGGAUAGUAAAUCUUUAUUGUAAUGAUGGACAAAUGAUUUAUCAGCUAGGCUGUAAUCUAAUAUAAAAAAAUAUUAAUUUAUCGUUUCUUUGAUAACAUCUCUAAAAAAAUUCAAUUAGAAAUGGACUCUGCAUUAAUUCAGAGCUGCUGGAUGCAGAAUCCAUUGGACUCUGCAGUCUGUAAGAGUUGGUUAUGUUUUCUUGAUUAACGGGCAUAGUUCUUUAUUUUUUUAAUUAAUAGGGCCACCUAAGCCAGCCUGGUAUGGGCUGGGGGGUCCUAGAGCCAAUGUAGGUGGGCUGUGCCUUCCGUGGACGGAGCUUUUAUCGAUGGACUUGGCGGGCUUGGGCCAGCCUUGUCCAUUUUUACACCAUUAACAUGGCCUGAUCUUUAAUAAAGUUCUAUAUGUUGAGAGGAAUAGGCAGCGAGAGGUUUGUUAAUUUGUUUUCUAAUUGAAGAAUAACUCUUUCCAUGAAAUUCUGUGGAAUGCAUUGGAUAACUAAGUUACUUAAACUGGUAAUUGAUACUUCUUUCACUCGAAAAAGAUCCAAAAUAGAUGCUCUUGCCACCAGAGAAGGUUGCCUCCAAAGAUGUGAUCUCUAUUGUUAAAUCAUUUGGAUGGGCUACUUAUUUUUGCGUAGUUAAUAGGAUAAUGGAAAGUUCUACACAUUCAAAUGUUUUUGUCGGAAGCAUGUGGUGGUACUAUAUCGGAUCUAGUAUCUUCAAGUCCAAUUCCUUGCUAUAACCUUACAAUAUUAUUGUUACUUACAAUUAUUAAAGCUCACGGUGUGUGAGCUUACUCGAACAAUCACAAAUCUCCACAACUCAAGAACCCUAAUCUUGGAAUGUUGGUGUCCUAUUUAUAGGCUCGCUAAGAGUCAUAAUUUAAUUCUACUAGGAUUCUCUUGAUUCCAAUUUAAGUAAGGAUUAAAAUCUCUGAGGGUGUAUCCAAAUCAUAUGGAUAAGAUCUAAGACUUCCUUACAUUGUCGCUCUAAUUGUGUCACAUAUGGCCUAAAUUCCAACAGUUUUUUAUGUGCUUGGUCCUCAAUAAUUUAAUAACUUAUUUAAGUCUUGUUUGAACAGAGUUAGUUCCGGCAAAUCAUCCUUCGUUGCUGGCCAAGAUUUUUGCUGUUGACCUCAAAUUUUGUAUAUCCAACGUGACCAGUAGGUAUCAAGGCCUCCCGUAUUCACUUAAGCAGAUUCCUGCACACUAAGACAAAUCCUUAGCCACAUGUGGCCUCCUUUGGUGGGGUGGAGUUGGCCGUGAUCACUCCAACGGCCAAGUUAGUUGAUAAUAUAAGUGUUUGAAUGUGGGAGUUGCUCUAGACACGAGCCUCUUGUAUAUAUUAAAAUAAAAGGUAUUCAACUUUAGGAGAUUUAAGAGAUGCAAAUUUGUAGUUUGAGAGUCUAAACUUGUAUUACAUUUGGAAUGGCACAUUGUGUGAGUUUUUCUAGUAAAAGAAGAUGAAUAAUAAAAAGGAGAACUAGGCAUAUUUUCAAAGGUUGAAAAAUAUAUUUCAUGAAAAAAAUGACAAUUGAACACUUCAAAAGUUGGAAUUCGAGUGGAAAAAGACCAUUUUUCAUAUAAAAAUUUCCAAACAAAUACAACCUUAUUGUUAAUACUAUUUUGUUGCCUAAAAUCAUUUACCAAGGUUAUGGAAGAUCUUCCAGUAAAACCCAUAAUGGUUCACCCCUCCAAUGGGGGUUCGGUUCCUCAAAUGGCGUAGGCUUCAGCAAAUGGAUUCGACCCUUCAUAAGGGUUCGGCCGGAGAAAUGAUGUGGAAGGCCCAGGUUUGGCUACCACAUGGUCAUGCUAGGAGCCUCGCUAGCGGAGGAGUAACAUUUUCUAAAAUAAUAUGAAGGGCAAGAUAUGUCUUGCAUUUUCUUACAUUCUAUACUUGAUCACAUGCCUUUUACCAUGCUUGAAUAUUCACAUUUGUGUAAAAGAAUGUAUCGUGGAUUUACAAGCAUCACAGAUGUUUACAUGCAUUGCUUUAUAUGAAUUUUCAACAUACACAUAUUCUGCUUAUGUUGCUAUCUUUUCCAAAGUACUGCUUCUUAUCCAUAUUCUCUGGCUCUACAAAGUUUUGUGGGAUCAACCUUAGUUCUCUCCAGUUGUUGUCCCCAUAGAGUCUGAGCAAGGCUGGCAUCAAUAGGUUGGGACUGCAAGUAGACAUUGAAAUAAGUCCUCGUUUUUCAAUUUUUUGCAUUGUUUUUUACCUGUUGAAUUUGAGUUUGUGUUGC
rnacentral:lncRNA from 1 species